rnacentral:lncRNA from 1 species
AUCUUUUAUACUUUGAAGAGCGAUUGUACAUUCCAAAAGGACUAGCACGACUCCGAGUUCUUCAAUCUCGCCAUGAUUUUCCAACUGCGGGACAUUUUGGAUUCAACAAGACCUUGGAGCUUAUUUCCCGAGAUUUUUGGUGGCCCCAAAUGUAGAAGGAUGUGAAAGAUUUUGUCCUCUCCUAUGAUAUCUGUUCAAGAUCUAAGAAUCCUCGGCAUCGCUCUUAUGGACUUCUACAGCCAUUGCCAAUUCCACGUCAACCAUGGUCUUCUAUUCCUAUGGACUUCAUCACGGACUCGCCAUCAUCAAACUCAUUUGACAGCAUCUUUGUCGUAAUAGAUCGGCUUAUAAAAAUGGCACACUUUGUUCCUUGUAAGAAGACAUCGUCCAGUGAAGUCACAGCAAGACUCUUUCUCGAUAAUGUGUAUCGAUAUCAUGGACUACCAGAUGAUAUCAUAUUAGAUCGAGGUACCCAGUUCGUGUCAAAGUUUUGGAGAUCUCUCUUUGAUAUAUUGAAGGUGGAUAUCAAGCUUUCUUCAGCUUUUCAUCCUCAAACUGAUGGCCAAACGGAACGGGUGAACCAAGUCUUGGAGCAGUACUUACGAUGCAGCAUCAACUAUCAGCAAGACGAUUGGACUGCAUAUCUACCGCUAGCCGAGUUUACAUAUAACAACACCCUCCAUGCGUCGACUCAACAAACACCAUUCUUUUCCAACUAUGGGUAUCAUCCGAAGCUUGAUUUAUUGAGUCCGUCAACAAAUAACAAUCCAGCAGCUGAAGGAUUUGCGAAGCAACUAUCAGAGCUUCAAACUAUGUUGAAGCUUCAAUUACAAUCCACUCAAGAAUCCUAUAAGACGUCUGCAGAUAGAUUUCGGAAUCCAGCACCUACUUUCAAAGUUGGAGACAAAGCCUGGCUUCUUCGACGAAAUAUCAAGACCAAGCGACCAUGUGAUAAGUUGGACUAUCGAAGAUUGGGACCAUUUAUCAUCCAGAAGCAAAUUAAUCCAGUGGCAUACCGGCUGGAGUUACCGGCCUCGAUGAAGGUACAUCCAGUCUUUCAUGUUUCUCUGUUGGAACCUUAUCGAGAGUCAUCUUUUCUUGGAAGAGUGCAAUGUCCGCCACCUAGUAUUGAAAUCGAGAACCACGAAGAAUACGAGGUUGAAAAGGUAUUGGAUUCACGGCGAAGGUGGGGAAAGUUAGAAUAUCUUGUUCAUUGGUGCGGCUAUGACAUUAAUGAGCGAACGUGGGAGCCAGCUGAAAAUCUUGCAAAUGCGCCACAAAAGGUACAGGAGUUUCAUCAACGACAUCCCGAUAAACCUAAAUCAAUUCGAUGAUAGCUUCUUUCUGAAGCUUGUUCUGCCAACAAUAUAAGAAAAGGGGAGAGCACCAGCAAAAUUCAUAGUUGAUGUAGUUAUUUUCUCCAAGAUAGAUCGUAGUUUGGUCUUUUGAUAUGGAUAGCCAAGAGAUAGAUACUAUGCUAGUCAGAGUAUCGCAACGGAGUAGCUCACGAAGGCGAUCCCGAGAUGAAGAACUACAUGUACCACGAUGACGACGGAGGAUACCGAGUAACCGAUCACUGGUGAUCGUAUUUGAGAUCGAGCCUACUUACGAUGGUCAACUAGAAGGCGUGUUUGCAGGACAAUUUCACAAUGAGGACACGGAAGUUCAUGCUUGGUCAGAAGUCGAAGGCGUGGGCCACUACCAUUGGCUUCAAGGGUCGAUGAACCACUUGCCUCGUGAACAACAGUUGGAGUUCAUAGCAGAAGUUAUGCGACAGAUCUUUAUUUUCUUGCGUUGGUACUGAUCAACAACAUUGCUUCUCAGAGACCUCGAAGCUAAAGGAGGAGGUGAUGUUAGGGACAUAUUCUUUAGAACUUUCUAGAGAGAAGUUUCUAGAACCUUCUAGAAAACAAGCCUCUAGAACCUUCUAGAAGAGAAGCCUCUGGAACCUUUUAGAAAGAAGUUUCUAGAAGCUUCUAGAAAAGAAGUCUCUGGAACCUUCUAGAAGAGAAGUUUCUAGAAGCUUCUAGAAAGGAAUCCCCUGGAACUUUCUAGAAGCUUCCUAGUUAAUAGAAGUAGCUCGAGAAGUUUCUAGAACCUUCUAGAAAGGAAGCCUCUGGAACCUUCUAGAAGCUUCCUAGUUAAUAGAAGUAGCUCGAGAAGCUUCCUAAGUAGGAGUAUAUAUAGGGAUCGAGGCUGAAGAGUUCUUCAGUCUCAACAACACAUCUCUUGGAGUUCUAGCUCACCUUUCUAGUGUUGUUCUUGUACUCAUCUGUUUAAUCUAGUUCUGCCACUUCUUCUUGAACUUCUUGUUAGAUUUCAAGUCUGUAUUUUGUGUCCGUGACAGCGAACUCUUUUCAAGAUUCUAAAAGUGGAUAUAAAACUAUCUUCGAUAUUCCAUCCUCAAACUAAUCGACAAACGGAGCAUGUUAAUCAAGUUUUGGAGCAGUAUUUAAGAUGUACCAUUAACUACUAAUAAGAUGAUUGGACAACUCUUUUACCAUUGGCAGAGUUUACUUAUAAUAACAUGGUACAUUCUUCUACAAAACAAACACCUUUCUUUACUAAUUAUGGUUAUCAUCCAUGACUUGAUACUUUUGACUUUUCAAAAGUUGAUAAUCUUGUUGCGAAAGAUUUGACAAUUCAUUUGUCAGAGCUACAUGCAACGAUGAAGGCAUAGUUAAAAGAAGCUCAAGAACAACAAAAAGUCAAUGCGGAUGUCUAUCGAAAUAAACAACCACCAUUCUAUAUGGGUGAUAAGAUAUGAUUACUUUGUCAUAAUAUCAAGACCACUCGUCUUUGUGACAAGUUGAACUAUCGAAGGCUUAGACUAUUUUCUAUUUUUGUACAAAUCAAUCCAAUUGCAUAUCGUUUAUAUCUACCAGAGUCAAUAAAAAUCCAUCCAGUAUUUCACAUGUCUCUUCUUGAACCAUACAAGACAAAGGACAUACCAAAAAGAAGACAAGGUCCACCUCCUCUUAUAGAAGUGGACAAUAAUGAAGAGUUUAAAGUCGAAGAAGUCUUUGAUUCAAGGCGACACCGAAAUAAAUUAGAAUAUCUUGUCCAUUGGCAUGGAUUUGAUAUUAGUGAAUGCACAUGGCAGCCAAUAAAGAAUCUUAUAAAUACAGCAAAGGCGGUGGAGGCUUUUCAUCGACGACAUCCAUCAAAAUCAAGAUGAAAACCUUCCUUUUAAAAGAAACAAGAUCUAAGGAAGAUAACAUUCUACUUUCAAUCCUUGUUUGUAGCUUCUUUGUAGUUGUGACACUCAGGAAAUAGAGAACCAACAACCAGCAGAUUCGACUCAAGAGCCUUUGUUUGCUGAUCUGUCAGAUAAGACAUUAUGAUUGUCACAACCUUCAAGACGAUGGAAUUGAGAUGAAGAUCUUCAAGAACAAUAUGUUCUUCCUCGAAUAGAUGGCGAGAUACAAUGCAUUUGGUAUCACGACCUUGGAAGGGACUCCAGAUAUUUGGUGAUUUUACUAGAAGUAGGAACAACUCCUGAUGGUGUUCCAAAUAUUUUAUUCGAAGGAAGUUAUGAAGGCCUCAACAAUGAUCAAAUAAUUGGGUGGUCUUCUUGCCUUGGUAUGACACAGUACCUAUGGUUGAGAGGUCCUAUCAAUCAUCUUCGAAGAGAACAAAGAUCAAAGUAUGUGGCGAAUACAAUUCGUCACAUCAUAGAUUUUCUCAACAUAUGAUUAUCACUCCUCGAAGAACUCGUUCCUAGAAAGGGAGGUAAUGUCACAGACAUAUGCAUGUAAGCCAAUAAUUACAUGUAUAAAUAGAUAGAAGUAAGUAAAAGUUGAUAAAAAUAAGUUAAUUCUAUAGUAUUUGGUAUAGAAGCUUUCUAGAAGCUUCAUAGACGCUGCUUUGACUUUAUAGGUAUCUUUAAUUGACUUUUUGGAAUUAGAAACGUGGUCAAAAAGUUGGCCAUGUGCCACACAUGUUGUUAGCUUGAAGACCAAGCUAACUAUGUGGCCCAUACAUAGAAAAAUUAGCCUUGUAAGUCAACACAUAUGUCCUACAAAAUCAACACAUAUUGGAGGUCCGAUAGAACAUCGCCAUGUAGUCCCUAGUUAGAUAGUAUAUAUAAAAACAAGAGUGAAGCCUUCUUCACUCUUGUCAACUCCUUUCUUGCUUCUAGUCUAGUUUCAAGGGUCUCUAGUUUUCUUGGCUUUUGGCAAUAGCCAUUCUAGUUUCUUUAUUAAUAAUUAUAUCAAGUUAUUUCUAUUUUGUCAUCUUUCUAUGAAAGAAGUCUUACUUGUUUAUUUGUCUUUAUGAUGUUCUUCUCUUUGACACCUAUGGAAGAAAUCCAGAGUCUACAUUAAGAAGUUGUGCUAAUGAGAGAAACAAGUUGGUCAGCCUUACAAUCAAAUUCAGGGGGUCUUACUUCUACAAGUUCAAGAGAGGCAAGAAUAUCUAUGCUCAAGAAGUUUGAUGAAACAAGAUCAAAAUUUUGAGAGUUUUUACAACAAGUUAAGUUCUACUUAAGGUUACAUCCUUUCCAAUAUAUAGAAUUUACUCAAGUUGGCUUCAUAGGCACACUUCUAUCUAGAAGUGCUCCUUCUUGGUUUGCACCUUUGAUAGAAAAAGAUUCAGAACUUUUUUAUGAUUUAAAUUCAUUCUUAAAAGUAUUUACAGCCACAUUUUGAGAAAUUAAUCGAGAACGAGUAGCAGAGACUAAAUUCUUAUCUUUAUGAUAAAGAUCAUGAUUAGCCACCACAUAUGCUGCUGAAUUCUAAAAUCUUGCUUGCGAUGUGGACUGGAAUGACAAAGCACUUAUUAAUCAAUAUUGAUAUAGGUUGAAGGAUAGCAUCAAAGAUUGCUUAUUAAGGAUGCCAAAAGCAAAAUCUUUGGAAUAAUUUAUUGUUCAAGCUAUUACAUAGGACAAUCAAUUAUUUGAAAGGUAUUUAAGAGCAAAGACUUGGCUGAAGAGGAAUAAGUCAAGUAAUGGCAGCAACUCCCAAGUUUUUUGAAACAUAUUCAUUAAGGCCAGAACUUAUACAAAAUAUUAUGAUAUGUUUUAAACCUUUCACAGAGUAAGAAAAAUUUCAAAGUCACUAAGCCGAUUUGUGUUAAUAUUGUGGAGGAGCUAAGCAAACUACUCAACAUUGUCAAAAGAAGCAACAUAAUUAUAAAAUGAGGAGCACAAUUACCAAAGAAGAUAAUGUAUGGAAAAAUGAGUUUCUCGAGCUAUAAUAGGAAUCUUGCAGUUGAAAUCAUGUACAACACCUAGUAAAGGUCUUACUCUCGCCUUAAACCCUUCAUCUUGUUUUAUUAUAGAUGUGUAUUUAGGAUCUAAAAAUUACAAAGUCUUUGGCUUAUUAGAUUCAAGAGCCUUCAACAAAUCUCUGCGGAGGCUCUUGAAUGUGUAAGGAUUAUUGAAGACCUAAUAAGAUCACCAUCAAAAAUAGGUAUCCUUUGUUGUUGAUUUUAAGACUUCUUGACCAACUCAAUCAAGCAAAGAUCUAUAUCAAAAUAGAUCUACGAGGAGCAUAUAACUUAAUUUGUAUCAAAAAAAGGAGAUGAAUGGAAGACUUCUUUUCAAACUAAGUAUGGACAUUUUGAAUAUAAUGUCAUGCCUUUUGGAUUCACAAAUUCAUCGAUUGCUUUUCAAAAUCUUAUGAAUGAUGUUUUUUGUGAAUUUCUAGAUGAUUUUAUCAUUUGUUAUUUAGACUACAUUCUAAUCUACUCUAAGAAUACAUAAGAACAUGAACUUCACAUUUGUCGUGUAUUACAAAAACUUAAAGAUGUAGGAUUAUAUGCCAAAAUGAAAAAGUGUGUAGUCUACACUACUCAAGUUGACUUUUUAAGGUACAUCAUUUCCAAUAAAGACCUUAUAAUGGAUCCAAAGAAGGUCCAAACUACCAUAGAUUGGAAGAUUCCAAAAACAAUACAAGAUGUGCAAUACUUUUUGGGCUUUGCUAAUUAUUACCAAAUCUUUAUCCAAAACUUUUUUCAAGUUGUAGCUCUACUUAUACGUUUGACUUGUAAAGACAAACUUGAGUGGAAUAAAGAAGUCAAAGCAUCGUUUGUUGCUUUGAAGAAGAAAUUUAUUUUUGUACCAAUUUAUAUCGUGUCGACUUUUAUGAGGCAUUCUUUAUAAAAACAAAUGCAUCAAAUUUUGCCUUGGGUAUAAUAUUGUCACAAAUAGGAAUAAAUGACGAACUCCAUCCAAUAUCUUUUUAUUCCAAGAAACUUUUACCAGCCAAAAUUAACUAUGAGAUCCAUGAUAAAGAACUUCUUGUAAUUAUAGAUUCAUUUUAAGAAUGACAUCAUUAUUUAGAAGGUAAUUCAAGUCCAGUCAUAAUAUAUACAAAUCACAAGAACCUCAAGUAUUUCAUAUCUAUGCAUGUUUUAAAUUGUCGCAAAGCUCGUUGGAGCAUUUCAUUAUUAAGAUUUGAUUUCAAGAUCACAUAUCAACUUGAAAAAUAACAAGGUUUAUCACAUGUUCUUUCUAGAUGCUCUUAUCUUGCACCAAAUGAAAGAAAUACAUCUUUUGAUCAACAAAGAACAAUUUUCUUGAAGCUAGAGCAUUUUCAUCUUCAAGCAAUGAAAUCAAUAUUGAUUGUUGAUUUGACCUUUGUCAAAUAAAUUCAAUCAAAUAUGUCCUCUGACCCUCUUAUUCAUGAUAUCAAGAAUAUUUUUUCUAAGUUUCAUGAUGUUUCAAAGUUUGAGUUCAAGGACAACCUACUUUAUUUUGAAAGAUGCAUAUAUAUUUAAAAAGAAGUACAUUUACAUAUUCUUCAAGCAUGUCAUGACUUUUCAGCAGUAAGACAUUUUAGAUACAAUAAGACUUUAGAGCUUAUAUAUAGAGAUUUUUAGUGGCUGCAAAUGUGAAAGGUAAUAAAAGACUUUGUCUAAUCAUGUGACAUUUGUUUAAGAUCAAAAAUUCCCCAUCAUCAAUCCUAUAGACUUCUCCAAUUAUUGCCUAUACUUAAACAACCAUGGUCUUUCAUUUCUAUGGAUUUUAUUAUACAUCUUUCAAGUUUAAGUUCAUAUGACUCUAUAUUCGUAAUUGUAGAUUGCUUCACCAAAAUGGCACAUUUUAUAAUAUGUAUAAAAUCUAUUUCAAGUAAAAAAAUAGCUAAGCUUUUCAUUGACAAUAUUUAUCGCUAUCAUGGAUUGUCAAAGGAUAUUAUAUCGGAUAAGGAGACUCAAUUUGUAUCAAGAUUCAAGAUAACCCUAUUCAAGAUUUUAAAGAUGGAUAUAAAGCUCUCUUUGGCUUUUCAUCCUCAAACUGAUGAGCAAACAAAACGGGUGAAUCAAAUUCUAGAAUAGUUUUUGAAGUCUACCAUCAACUAUUAUCAAGAUGAUUGGACAGCUCUUUUACGAUUAACAGAGUUUGCAUACAAUAAUUUGAUACAUUCUUCUACUCAACAAACACUUUUCUUUGUCAAUUAUGGUUAUCAUCCACAACUUGAUACUUUUGACUUUUCAAAAGUUGAUAAUCUUGCGAUGGAAGAUUUAGCAAAUCAUUUGUCGAAGCUACAUGCAACAAUAAAGAUGCAAUUAAAGAAAGCUCAAGAAUGAAAAAAGACUAAUGUACAUGCCUAUCGCAAUGAGCAACUCAAUUCAACGUAGGUCACAAGGUAUAGUUACUUCAUUACAAUAUCAAGACUACUUGUGAUUGUGAUAAGUUGGACUAUUGUAGGCUAGGACCUUUUCUUAUUUGUAAACAAAUCAAUCCUAUUGCUUAUCAAUUAUAUCUAUAAAGAUCGACCCUAGAUUUCAUGUGUUCCUUCUUGAGCCGUACAAGACAAUGAAUAUCUCAAGAAGAAGACAAAUAUCCCAUCUCCUCCUAUAGAAGUAGAUAAUAAUAAAGAAUUUGAAGUGGAAGAAGUCGUAGACUCAAGGUGGUGCCAAAAUAGGUUGGAACAUAUUGUUCAUUGGCAUGCAUAUGAUAUUAGUGAAUAUACAUAGAAACCAUUAAAGACAUGCAAGUUAAGGCAUGUAGUUAGCAAAGUCAAUAUGUUUUGGAGGUCCUAUAGGACAUUGCUACGUAACUCAUAAUUAAGAAUAUAUAUAGAGGCAAAAAUGAAGCCUUCUUCACUCUUAUCAAUGUCUUUUUAGUCCUUAGUCUUGUUUCAAGACUUUCUAGUCUUCUUGUUUUUUGACAAUAGCCAUUCCAGUUCAAUAUUAUAUCACCUUUGAGUGACUCUCUAGUUCCUUUCAAUGAUAUAAGAGUGUAUUGAAGUUUUUCUUUCUUCAAGAUUCAUAUCCUUGAUACAUGGUAUAAUCCAUGUAUCAUGGAUGUCGGAUCUUACUUCUAUAACUAGAUAUGAAUUUAAGUUAAUCCACAUGCAUUGAACAUUUUUGUGCAUGAAUCUAUUUCUUUUGUAUAGUCAAAAAAUAUUCUCAUGUAGAAUAGUUCACUUAUGUAGUAAUUUUGUAUAUUGUAAUAACUUUUUAAUUCAUAUGGUUAUUUUUACUAAUAUUUUUAGAUUGAAUAUUGGUAUGACUUUGAGAUAGUUUUAUGAUAUAAAAAUUGUAUAUGAAUUACACAAUGUAAUUGGAAUUUGUAGUUCAAAAUAAUGGAUAUUUAUUUGUUAUUUGUUUUGUAUCAUAAGUAAAAGAUUACAUAUUCACACAAUAAAUGAAGAAAAGAGUUAAGAAAUAACUUUAUUAAUUGUUCAAAAAUAUUAAAUGAGUAUAUUUUUCUUAUCACUUAAUAAAAUUGAAUAAAAAAAACUAAUAUUAUAUUAUAUUAUUUUUUUACAUUAAUUUAAAAGAUUUAUAUCAUAUGUGUGUGUAUGUGUGAAUAUAUAUAUAUAUAUAUAUAUAUAUAUACAUUUAUAUAUUUUUACUUUAAAUUAUAUGAUUGGAUUUUUUAAAAUAACUUUAAUUUUUUAUGCAUAAAAUAAAUAAUUCCAAAUCUUUAUAUUCAAUGUUAGAAUGCUUAAUGAUUCAAGAUUACUUCAAUAAGGAAUAUAUAUAUAUAUAUAUAUAUAUAGAUAUGCAUACAUACAUACAUAUAUAUAUAUCUUUUUAUUAUACUUUAUUCUUUCAAAGUUCAUGAUAGACCAAUUAGUAAUUCUUUGUUUGUUUUGCAAUCUCUAAGCAAAAAGAAAUAGACUAUGUUGAAAUAAAUUCCAUACUAGUUUUUUUUAAUCUAAAUGCAUUUUCCAACUUUCAAUAGGUAAUACAUUUAAUUUCAUAAUUUAUACAUGUGUAGUUGUUUGAUACUACACAUGUAAUCAUUUUAAAAAUUUAGAAUGAUUGUGUGCAAAAAUAAAGAAACAUCCCAUGAUAAUUAUAUACACAAGCAUAUAAAACCUCCAAAUUACAAACAUGUAUUUGUGAGUUUUUUACAAUGGUGUAUUAUAUCCUUAAAAUAUAUUCAUUCUUUUUAUUGAAAGAAGGUGGAAGAAUGUUGAGCUUUUUUCCUUCAUUACUUUAAAGGAAAAUAUCAUGGAUAUCCUUAAAAUUUGCCAAAAUAUCCAGAAUACCCCUCUUUUGUGAUAAUUGCAAAUCUGCCCUUCAAUAUGAUAAGUUAUAACCUUCUUGUUUUUAGAUGCAAUUAGAGCCCAAAGCAUGUGUUAUGCAAAUUUUGGCUCAACACUUGGUCUCACAUCUUGGGCACCUCACAAUAAUGAAUCUUAGAGGCUUUUUUGCCUAGAAACACAAGAAGAAAUUUGACAACGAAUGGUUGUCAAAACCUCAAUGUCGUUAGGAACGACUGUCUCCACUGGUAUCUUCUAGGGCCCAUCGACACAUGAAAUGACUCUUGUGGCAAUGUUGCCAAAAUCUUUGAACUCUCCAAUUUGACAAUCACAGAGGAAGACAAAUCGCAAUCAGUGGAGCAAAGUAUUCUUGAUAUUGUGACAAAUUUCAGGGGCAUUUAUGAUAUUUUUCCUUACUUUAAUACAUUAUUAUUAUUAUCAUUAUUUUUAUUUUUCUUCUUUAUUGCAAUGAAGUUUUGAACAGGAAGUUGAAUCUGGUCACAUUAUACAUCGUUCUAAAAUGCUUUUUAUUCUGAUUUGAUAAAUCAAGCAUCAUGUUUGUUCAAAUUAAACGAAGCUAAUGUUCCCCAGAAUACCCAAACAGUAAUCCGAUUUUUUAUAAAAAUAAAAAGAAAAACUACACUACCUCGCAACUCCAGGGCUACUUCUGGAGUAGAUUCAGAAGAGUGUCCCUCAAGCAUUUCACGUCCUCUAGAGCUGUUAACGAUCCCAUGUUUUUGAUGCUCUUUAAUACAGUCCAACUAAGCAAUUGGGCCGCCAAGAAAUCAAAGAGAAAGCAGUGUGCGUUAAGUGAAACAUAUCAAGCACCUUCAAGCGUUGAAUCCACGACUCUUUCUAGCUUUUGUGUGAUGACAACCUUCUUCUGACGAUCCAAGGCAGACCUGAAUGUGCGAGUUAAAACAUCCAAAUUCAAGUUAGUCUUUGCGUAGGUGUCGUGGAUUCAGAUCACCUACAUGCAAAGGAUUUCACCAUGUUGUUCGCAAUAGGUAGGGACAUCCAAAGAUGCUUUCCUGAUCUGUAACGGAUUAAAGAAAUUACUUUAUCUGAGGUUCUGGCUGUGGAAGUCUUUAAAAGUAUCUUGUAAAUCUUACACGUCUGUCACAACGGAAUGGAAGUCAUUGCUGCCUGCUGUAGAGAUCACAAGGCUCUGAUUUAGUGCUGAUGUGUGUCGUGAAAAAAGAAACAAGGUUUAAUGCGAUUGGGGAUUCAUGGGUCAAUAUCGUGGCUUUGUCCUGGAGUACAACCACUGUAGCAAAAAAAAUUUAAAAACCCGCCCUCUGCACACUCACUCAGCAAGUCUUUUGACGUAAACUCACGUCACGGUAGAGCUGAGUAUAGGGACAAGUUGUCCCUAUACACUGCACCGAUCGACUUGGUCAGAUCAUUAAUCGGAACCCAGUUCUUGAACAAUAGCAUGAAUACCUUCGAGGCCUUAUUGUCAGUGCAGCUUACCACUUUUUCCUUGAGCAGCCUAGAAGCAAGUUAAGAAUAAAAAACCAUCUGUGUGUUCCAAGUCUGACCUCCACGUUCCAGCCCUCGUCAACAAGAUUAUCUUCUGGACCAUUGCAAUCACAUGUUCCGCGCUCCUAACAUAAACAAGGACGUUUGACCCAUAGUAAUCUAAUCCUUAAACAAAAAGUUGCCGGGUGGAUUUGGUACUAGCAAAUAAACAGCUGCUUUACUUGAAGGUUGAGUGCAAUUACCUCAGAUGCCCUGAACAAACCAUUCACGUUCGAUUGACCAGAAUGCGAUCCGGCAUAAAUUGAACACAAAAGUAAAGUCACCCUCGAGCUCAUUCCUACACACAUCAUUCGCUGCUCAAUGCACCCAGCACCUUUCAUAGCAUGGAAAAUGUGGGUGAUGCAUUUGGUUUUGCCAAGAAGUUACCGUAUGAAGAAGGCAAAUCAUCUGCCUGUUCCACCAGUAUGACGACCAAGGUUCGAAGAGUUUGAAUGGGGAACUGUAAACCUGAACAUUCUUCAAAAUCGCCGUGAUGCAUGCAUGGGUUGAAUCCAAGAUGAUUUGACUUAACAGACUCUCGCCUGUUCCCAGGAAAAUAUCCGCAGAAUCCCGCUGCUCAUGUGAAACCCUCCCUCACAACCUCCUCUGUAUUUUUCGUCAAGGACGUAGUAGCAAAGAUUGUUUGCAGCCCCUACAGAGAUGCACAGAACCUUGUCACCAUCUGCGAUGAAACCCUAAUUGUAACCCAUUAUGAUCAAAGUGCAGCCUGCUCUCAUUUCAAAUGUCUAAACGCAUUACUAAGAUGUGAUUCUGGACGUGUACCUCCAAGCAAAUUCGAAACAAGUACAUUGGAAGUAUCUUCGCAGAAUCGAAAUUUCCAUCCGCAACAAUCUCGUCGAAACCACUUGGUAUUUCAGCCUCACCAGACGUGGUCCCAAAUGUACUGAUACGAUUUUCUCAUGCAGACUCCUAAUGCCUAAUCUUAAACCUAAACAUCCCUCCUCCUAAAUCUCAUAACCUCUAUUUUCAAAAAUUUCCACCACACUACCAAAUGAGCUAAAACAAAAAGGUAUAAUUCACGACAUGAGCUCUCUCGACUUCCAAGAGUCUACCAAAGGAAGCAACUCCAUAACCAUCCAAAAUAAACCCCGCGUUCAACCUCCGCUAUGAUCUUCCAACAAAAGUCAAUGCCACUCCGAAUGAAACCUGGCAUCCUAGGUCCUUCUCGAAGACGGGUAGCAACAUCACCGUUGCGUCCAAAAUCUCGAAUUCUGCGAAAAGCCGGCAACAAAUCCGCAGAAAUAUGGAAAAAGCUCACCAGCACGUGAGCUAUCAAGACGAAAUCGGCUCUAGAUUUCAAGCAGCUCAGCUCGUCGAACGCAACUACACCGCAAUGACCGCAACCACUGUAGAGAUGGAGGUCGGUGAUAAUAAAUGCUGGGAGCGCACCGACUACGAUUUUGAUGGGCAGGCAGAGGAUGACGGGAUUCGGUGCUGUGAAUGCGGCGAUUCCAAAGCUGCGCGGCGCCGAGCUCGCAAGUUCGAGGCCCUCCCGGGAAAACGAGGAGGACCAAGUGGGGCCGACGUGGACCCACUAAUCCCUCCACGUGUGCAGGGCAAUCGGCCCUCCAGCUUCCGAGGCCACUCCUGUGACCGAAUGCAUCAAUUCCUGCCACGUCGGAUUAAUUCCAUUCCUCUACUUUUACUUUACCGCGGAUGGUUCCUUAAAGAGAAAAUUUCAAAACUACCCCUGGAACAUAAAGAAUACAUCCUAUUCUUGAUAAUAGCACACAUACCCCUCAAUUUUGUCAUAAUUUUUAAAUCUAUCUGUGUCUGAUAAUUUAUCACAAAAUUUCCGAUUUUACAUUCAAAUGGGCCCAAGCCGCGUGCACUGCGGCCCUUUUCUGUUGUUUUCGUCCGUUUCUGCAGUUCUCUCCCAAACAUUGUGCUGUGGCUAAGGUUGCCUGCCGCGGUCCUCGCUGCCACCACCACCCUGCUCUCACCUCCCGCAGCAUCCCGUCCUCCGUCGCUUCCUGCGGCUCUCUCUCCCCGCACCACAGCAUCUAGUGGUUUCUCGAGUUGCAGGUAAUAUUCACUUAACUUUGGAACAUCACAACAAUUCUCAAAAUCCUGAGGAGCGAUACACAACUUUUGGAUCUCAGGUGACACAUGUAUUGCAAUUGAUGUAUCUCAUUGUGAUAGUUCAUGUUUGCAUCCUAUUGUCAAUGUGCCUAGCCAACUCUUGUCAAUUAAUGGCAGCCUCAAACUCAGAAAAUUGCAAGCAUCACGCCACCUGUUUCUAUUGCCACAAGUAGAAACCAAGCCCUUGGAACCAGAAUUAAAGCUUUCAUGCAUAAGCGAAACAGCUCCAUUGAGGUUGAAACUGUAACCCUCAUUCGGGCUGCAACCUCCGAACCAAGUGAGAUUGAUGGUGGCAGCACUGAUAUCAUAGAAAUGCCCUCUAACAUUCCUUCUGGCUCCUUCUCAAUUCAAUGUCCUGGAAAAGAGGAACCCUCGUAUUUUAUCCCUGAUCCUAGGAGAAGAUCUAAUGCAAAGAAAUACAAGGACAGUAGCACACCGUUUUGCAAGGAGAGGGAGGCAAUAAUGUCCAACUCCAAAGUUAAGACGCCAUACAUGAGAUUCUUAAGGAUGAGGAAACCAUGUAACAUCAGCAAGAUCUAUUUCAUUGAGAAGUCCCGUGCUGACAGAGAGGCUACCAUGACUGAUCACUCCGGGUACCCCAGCAGCAUGGAGCAUUUCUCGGAGGUGAAGGUGUGCACUGACUCUUUAAAGACAAAUAUGCAGCUGUUCCCUGACAUGGCAUACGUUGUGCACAACAUCGUUCAUGAGAAGACCAUUAUUGACAGUUGUAACGCAACCACUCAACUUCAGGAUAACAGCCAAAAACAGAUAGUCGGAAAGGAUUUUGCAGAAAACCUCAGUUUCUCAAAAUUGCAAGACGAGGUGACACUCAGACAUGGGUGCAGGUCCCAGAGUGCGACAGCACCAAUGCCUCCGAAGUAGUACUCUAAGAAUAAUUCAUGGUUGGGCAAUUUCAAACUCACCAAGUGGCCUAAGAAAUCAAGAAAAACCAUGGUUAGCGAGCAGGAUCAUGUUUCAGUCGACAACUUAGAACACGACCCAGCUUCAUUGCCUCGGUUUGAACAAGAGUUUGUGGAUCCAAGUGACACUUCCACCACCCUGUCGAUUAGGAAAGAGCGCCCACAGAUAGAUCUGAAAACGGCUCUCCUCCAAGAGUAAUCUCCUUUGACAGGAUCCUUGCUUGAAAAUCACCGCAGCAUCCUUGCCUCCGGUCGUCCUGUCAGCGGUAGCCAAUCUUGCAGACAAGAUGCCAGUAUUCUCAUGAAUGUCAACAAGUCCGAUGUGGCUGAAUGUCUGUUCUGCAUUUUGAUCAUGAGCUGGUCUUUGCUGAAUGAAGGAGUUCGCUGUUGAUGUCGUCUCUGGUCGCACUCAUUCAUAUCGUUAUCGAUCCUAGCUUCAACUAAGUUGGACACACGACUAUUGUGGAUAUGUCUUUUACUGCGAAAUAUGAACACAUGAUGAGUUUAGUAUUUUUAGAAAUGUGUUAUGUGAUACAUUUGAUAUGUGAAUAUUAGCAUAUAAACUGUGAAUGUUUUUAGGUAACAUUGCUCCAAUUCAAAUUGAAUAUUAUAGGUACACUUCAUCCGGAUGCAAUUGUAUCUAAAAUAUAAUUAAAUACUUCAAAGUAAGAUUAUACCUCUGGUAAAAUGAUUUUAGGUUUACCUUCUGUUUUCCUUGUGGCAUAGCUACAAUGCUUUGAUUGAUAUUGUAUUUUUUUAUUUUUUUAUUUUUUGUCAAAAUAAAAUCACUCAUUUAUUAAAAUAUUAUUUUGUAUUCAAAAGUAACAAUUGAAUAAAAUUUUAUUAUUAUUAUUAUUAAAUGAGAUAUAUUUCUAUUACUCAAAAGGAUAAUAAUUAAACUAUCCAAUUAAUACAUUUAAAUAUUCAAAUGUAAAUUCAUGCAAAUCAUACAAAUUUUGAUACCUCCUUGUUGUUUUAGAAAUUAAUUAAUUAACUAAUUAUAAGUAAUAAUAAUAAUAAUAAUAAUAAUAAUAAACACAUACAUAUACACACAAUAUUUAACUAAGAUGUGUUCAAAACAUUACUAGCAUAUUUCAAAAACAUCUUUUUGAAUUAUAUAUUUGUAAACAUAACCAAUGAUGCUUGUACAUUAAAAUUUGAAAAUUAAAAAUUGAAAACAAAGAUGGCAAAGAUUAACUUUCUAAGGUUGCACAAUACUAAACAUGUUAAAUGGGAUGGUAAAUUUACACAAAAUCCAAUGCUUUAUAUAUAAUGUUUUUAUUUUUAUUUUUAUUUUUGUCUCUAUUGCAACAAUAAAUAUAUAUAUAUAUAUAUAUAUAUAUAAUGAAUUUCAGAAUGGACUAUAAAUCUCAACUUAAAGCCAUGUUAACAAAUUAAAUGAAUAUUUAUACAUAUACACAUAUUUAAGUCUUUUAUUAAGCCUAUUUAUAAAUGAUAUAUCAAAAACAAAUUGUGUAUCAUUUAAGAUUGCCGUCAUGAGGAUUCUAUAGAGAGUAUGACAACUUUUAUAGCUCUUGUUUUAGAAAAGGAGUAAAUGCAAUGUCUCUAUCAAACAAUAAAAACAUUGUAUUUGUUGAGCAAUUAUAAUUUUUUGUAGGUAGCCUAUAAAAUACUAAAUAAUUUCAAUACAUAUCUUCAAAAAGAACUGCAGUUGCAUAUGUGUUUGAUCAUGUUUUGAUAAAUGUGACAUAAUAGAAGAAAAUUCAAAGUUAACUUUGAAGAUUAGUUUGGUGAGUUAAAGAUCAAAUGCCAUAAAUAUAGAAAGUUCAAAAAAUUCAAAAGAUGAAAAAGAAUACAAAAAAAAUUGAAAAAAAAUUUAAAAUAAUAAAAUGACAGUACUCAAUUAUUUUAAAUGUAGUAUUUUUCUAAUUUAGAUGGUAGGAUUUAGGAUAUCACUAUUUGAAGCACUACUGUGAUAUAUUUUAGAAUGCAUGGAUUUUUAACUUUAAUUGUUUAUAACACAAGUUUUGUCAAAUUUAUAGGUUUUGAACCUAUAUGUUACACAAUAAUAGAAUUGCAUUGAAGAGAUAACUAUAUGUUAUGAAAAUCUAUAAAAAUAUUGAUAUAUGUAAUUAAGGUUUAAGAACAUUGAUUAGUGUUUCACAUAUUCUUAAAUUAUUAAAAAACUUAAUUUCAUUGGGUGUACUAAAAUUGGUUGGUUUUAGAUUUGAAAGUUUCUAAAAGUAUUUGUAAACGUUUAGAAAUAGUUUGAUUAUUGUGUGUGUAUUUUAAACAAUCAAUUUUAAAUACUAUCUUAUAUAAAUAUGUUAUACUUGUAAUAUAUUAUAAUAACAUGUUGCUUGCAACAAAGAAUAAGUAUGUUAUUAAUAGAUUAAAGAGACAAUUGAGCAAAGCAUUCUAUAUUCAACAUCUAGGUCCUACUAAGAGAAUUUUAGAUAUUGAUAUCUAUAAUGAUUGCAGAAGAUGUAGAAUUUAGACAUCACAUAGAAGGUAUAUUGAAAAGGUACUAAUAUGCUUUUGCAUUAAGAAAGAAGAAAUAUGUUAUUUCAUAUUAUUUUUAAUAUAAUUUCCUAAUAUUAAUGAUGAAAGAUUAUGCAUGUCUAGUUUCUGUAUGCAAAUACAAUAGAUAGUCUUACAUAUGAAAUAAUGUAUACAAUCUUGUAUAUUAUAGAUAUAAAUAAUAAAAUAUAUACUAUUUUUUAAAAUAUUUAAAAUAAUAUAGAAUAAAUCAAUUUUAAAUUUAAAAAUAUAGAUAUUAUUUUAAUUACAUUUGAUGCAAAUUAUAAGGAAUGAAGAAAUUUAUUGAUGUUAAUUUUGUAAAAAAAUUGAAUAAGAAAAUUUAUAUAUUACAUUGUGUCUUAAGAAUGGUUUGUGGAUUUAUAAGUUAAAAAUUUAUUUUACAACAUAUAAUAAUAUUUUUUAUUACAUAAGAAAAAUAUAUAAUAAUUAUAAAUAUAACUAAGAAGUUAAUAUGGUUGAAAAGACUUAGCAAUAACUUUGAUUUGAUAUAAGAACAAUCAUUACUAUGUUAUAAUAAAUAAGGUGUUUUAUUAUUUUUAAAAAAAUAACAUAUAUUAUUUUAAAAUAAAGCACAUAGGUAUUUGUCAAGAACAUAAAUGAAGAAAAAACUUUGAGAAGAUAACACACUUUUGUGUUAGUGAAAUAGAAAAAAUAGAUAAAUCAGAUAUAUACUUAGAAUAGAUAGACUUAAAAAUAAAUGUACUAUAUUUUUAAUUUAUAUAUAAAAAUCUCUGGUAAUCAAAAUAACAUGAAUAACCACCAAGGCUAAUAAAUGUAAAUAGUAUCAAGUACCAAAUACAAAGAGAAGUUGACAAUUUUUGUUGUUGUUAUGUUCAAAGUUUUAUUUCAAUAAAUUAGAAUAAUAGACUUAUUUCUAAUUUUUAAUUCAUUUUAUUAAUUCUAAUCUAAACUUAUUUCUUAUAAUAUUUUAUUAAAGUUAAAUUUCAUGUAAUCCAGCUCAAAUUAGUAGUUGAUAAAAAUUUCUUCUAUAGGUGAAUUUUAACUACAAUUUAUGAAGUUUUACACAAAACAAAUAUUUUUAAAAUUAGUACUUACAAAUUAAUGUCCAAGAAGAAAUACAAGUUUCUAAUAAUGAUUUAAGAUGAUCAAAAAUUUCUUUCUUCAAACUAAAGUUGAAUCCAUGGAGAACUUUCAUAUCUACUAAAUUUUGGACCUAUUUAUUUUCAAAGUAUUAAAAUUUGGUCCUUAGAUAAAUUGAACAUUAAGUCUUUGUUUUCUUUGUAAAGUGACAUAUAAUAUUAAUCUAAAUUUUUUUUAUCACAAUUAACUAUCAAAUAAAUAUAAUAUUUGAGAUUUAUGUAUAAUAAAACAAAUACUAAUUUAAAACCAAUGCCAACUUUUUUUAGACUUGUUGAAUAUAACAUGUACUUAAUAAGAAAGCAUCCAAUUUUAUACUAUAGGAAACGUAUUAAUGGAUAAUUUUAUUUAAAUGGAAAUAAUUUAUUAUAGAAAUUAUUUUUGUUAUAUCUUAUAUUGUAUCUACUUAAUGAAAGUGUAGUACAAUGAGUUUCUCCAUCAUUUAUGACUGUUUUUAUGAUAGUUUUAAGAAGAGGUAUAAACAACAUAUUUACUUUCUUCUAAUUAGAGGAAGUAGAAGCAAUACCUUCCCCUCUUCAAAGUUGAGGUACAACUUAUUUGAUACACAAUUAUAACAUUUUGUAGACGAUUUCUAAUGAAUUUGAUUAUUUUAAUUGAUAGCUUAAGAAAGUUAUAAUUGUAUAUCUAUUUAAAAAAAUACUAUUAAAAUACCUCUAUUUUAUGUAUGUAUUAUUUUAUAUUUAAUUUUUCAACAACAUACAUCAAUAUAUAUAUAUAUAUACAUACAUACAUAUAUUUGAGGACUGCAUUUGUAUUUAUUGUUCCAAGAGACAAAUAUGCUUAGAACAAACAAAAAAAGAUAAAAGACAAAGAAAGUUAUAUUUAAAAAAAUAAUAAUAAUAUUAUAGAAAAUUUACAUAAAUAUGAUCAUUUUUAAAAAUAAAUUUUUAGAUUGGAUUGUAAUUUUAAAAAAUAUUUUUUUAAUUAUAUUAGAAGUCAAAAAAUAUGUUUUUAUUAUUUUAAAAAAUCUAAAAAUAGUAUUUUGGAUAUAUAUAUAUAUAUAUAUAUAUAUAUAUAUAUAUAAUAUGGUCAAAAAGCCAUAAUAUAUGAAAAUUUGAAAUAGUUAUAUAAUUAUAUUUGCAUAAUAAAAGUAUAUAGUUAUAUAAUUAUAUUUAUAAUAAUAUAUUAUGAGAUACAAGAUUAUAUGCCAAAUUAGAAAAAUUAAUAUUCUAUCAGCCAAUAGUACAAUUUUUUGGAUAUAUUAUAUUCAAAGAAGACUUGUUCAUGGACGUAAAGAAAGUUCAAAUUAUAAUGGAGUAGGUAAUUUCAAAGACUAUAGAAAAUAUACAAUAUUUUCUUAGAUUUGUUAAUUUCUAUUAGAUAUUUAUGAAGAAUUACUCUCAAGUUGCUACUCUUAUCACUUGAUUGACAUUCAAAGAUAAAUUAGAAUGAAGACCUUGAGUACAAAGGACUUUUGAAGAUUUGAAGACAACUUUUAUUAUAGCUCCAAUCUAUUAUAUUUAAAUUUCAUAAAGGCCUUCUAUUUAGAAAUUGAUGCUUUAAACUUUGUAUUAGAAGUUGUACUAUUACAAAUGGAAAAAGAUAGAAAGCUCCAUUUAAUUGUAUUUUAUUCUAGAAAAUUUUUAGCUAUAAAGAUCAAUUAUAAGAUUCAUGAUAAAGAGCUUGUUGCAAUUGAAGACUCUUUCUUAAAAUAAUAGCACUUGUUGGAAGGUGCUACACAUUAUAUGACUAUAUAUGCAGAUCACAAAAAUUUGGAGUAUUUUAUAUCAGCUUGGAUUUUGAAUUGCUGCCAAGGUCAUUGGAAUAUAUCAUGAUCUUAUUUUUAUAUUGUGAUUAUAUAUCAACUAUGAAAGCAAUAAAGACUAUUAAAUGUUUUAUCAAAAAUAUUGUAUCUUAUUCCAAAGGCUAGAAAAGUAACAUUUUUUUAGCAAUAUACCACUCUUUUGAAGCCAAAACAAUUUCAUCUUUGUGUUAUUUCUAUAAUUACACUUAUUGAUUCAAAUUUUCUUGAAUAAAUUCAUGUAGCAUUAACUAAGAACUCAUUAGUAUGUAACAGCAAGCAACACCCUAACAACAAUAAGUUCAAGUUUGUAGAAGAUUUUUUAUAUUUUGAAGAUCAUUUAUAUAUUCCAAAAUGACUAAAGUAAUUUUAUGUUUUUCAACCUCAUUAUGAUUUUUCAACUACAAGAUAUUUUGGAUUUAAUAAAACAUUGAAAUUUAUUUCUUGAGAUUUCUAGUAGCUUCAAAUGUGGAAGUUUGUGAAGGACUUUGUCCUUUUGUGUAACAUUUGUUCAAGAUCGAAGAAUUUUUGACAGCAUCCUUAGGGACUUCUACAGCUACUACCAAUCCUGAAGCAACCAUGGUCUAUAAUAGCAAUAGAUUUUAUCAUUGAUUAGUUGCCAUCAACUACAUUUGAUUCUAUCCACAUUAUUGUGGAUUGACUUACAAAAAUAGUUUAUUUUAUUCCAUAUAAAAAUAUAAUUUUUGAAGAAGAAAUGGCAAGGUUCUUUCUUGAUAAUAUAUAUCAAUAUCAUGGCCUAUCUAAUGCUAUCAUUUUUUUUAUUGAAGAUCUCAAUUUAUAUCUAAGUUUUGAAAAUAUUUUUUUAAAAUACUAAUAAUAGACACUAAAUUUUUUUCUACCUUCUAUCCUCAAAUAGAUAGUCAAACAAAAUAAGCCAAUCAAAUUUUGGAAUAACAUUUAUGAUGUACCAUCAACUAUCAAUAAGAUGAUUGAAUCUUGUAUUUAUCUUUAGCAAAGUUUGCUUAUAAUAAUAUUCUUCAUACUUUGAUUCAAAAAAUAUUAUUUUAUUCUAAUUAUAGUUACCAUUUAAAGCUUGAUUUAUUAGGUAUAUCAAAAGAUAAAAAUUCAAUAGCUAAAGAUUUUACAAAAAUAUUUAUUAGCUCCAAAUUUGUUUAGAGUUCUAUUUAUAAGCAACUCAAGAUUCUUAAAAAGUAUUUUUAGACGAAUUUAGAAAAGAAUCUCUUACUUUUCAAGUUGAAAAUAUAUUAUGGCUUCUUGGCAAAAUAUCAAAACUAAUCGACUUUAUGAUAAGUUGGACUAUCAAAGAUUGAGGAAAUUUUGUAUUCCAAAGAAAAUUAAUUCAAUGGCUUAUCGAUUGGAACUACCCACAUCUAUGAAGAUACAUCCGAUCUUUCAUGUUUCUUUCUUAGAAGCUUAUUUAGAAUCAACUAUUUUAUAAAUAAUACAACUAUCACUACCUUGCAUUAAAAUAGAUAAACAUGUGAAAUAUAUGGUGAAAAAGUUCUUUGAUGCUUGACAAAGAAGAAGUAAGUUGGAAUAUUUUAUUCAUUGGUGUGACUAAGAUAUCAAUGAGCGUACAUGAAAAUCAAUAAAAAAAAUCUAAUUAAGAUAUUACAAAAGAUAUAUAACUUUCAUCAAUGCUAUCUUUAAAAAUCUAAACCUAUUUUAGGAUGACUUUUCUAGAAAGCUAAUGUUAAGAUGUUGUAUGUAAUAAAGAAAGCAAAUAUGAAAUUAAUGGUUCUCAUGAAACUUAGAGUUAGAAGAAGAAGUGAUGUUACAAACAUUCAAUAAGAAUAUUCUUAAAAUAUUCUUAAAAUAUUAUAUUACAUUCUAAAAGAUUCUUAAAAGAUUUAGAGAAAGUUCUAGAAAGUUCUAAGAAUAUUUUUUUAAAAAAAAAUGUCUAAGAAGAUUUUUAGGAUUGUUUUAUUUUUAAGCAACAUGGAAACUUCUUAAAGAGCUUCUUAAGAUUGUUUCAUCUUCAAGCAAUAUGAAAAUUUCUUGACAAGCUUCCUUAUACCUAGUCUUGACAAUAGAUCUUUUAGAGCUUUAAUUCACCUCUCUUAGUAUUGAUCUUGUAUUCAUUAAGUUUAAUCAAGUUCUUGUUAGAUUUCUUAUUAAAACUCUUCCAUUCAACUUCUUUUUUAGUUUCUUGUAUAGUAUAUCCAUGACACAUGCAUUUCUUUGAUUAUUAUUUUUAAAAAAUUUUAAACAUUAACAUCAAAAUACUACAAGCUUUCUAGUUUUUUUAAAAAUCAUAUGUCUAUUAAAAUCAAAUUUGUACAUAUAUUCAUAAAUAAAUGUCUUUAAAGAAUUAUUAAAUUGAUCUAAGUAUUUAAUAAAUGUCUUAUUCAUUCCAACUAUCAUUAAAAAAAGAAUCUGUAUUAUCAAAUUUAUAUUGAUCAAAAACCAAUGAACAAAUAAUUAGAUCCACAACCAAUAAUGAUAGGUGGAUUAAUUUAAUAAAUGCUUGCAUUAAUUUAAUAAAUACUUGGAUCAAUUUAAUAAUUUUCUAUCUUUAUUAUAUGAAAUUUUUUAGUAAAAUGGUUUUAUUUUACAUUGAUCAAUUGAUUUAUAAUCAUUAUUAUGUAUUAUUAUAUAAUUUAUUUUAAACACAUGUGUUCAAAUAAAAUCAAUACAUUAUAAAAUCAUGUAUAUUACAAGUAUUUAUUAUUAUUUGAGGAUUUUUUUUUAUCAUUAUUAAAAAAAAUAUGUUGUCAAAAUUAUAAUAAAUAAUCUUUUUUUUUACUUUUUUAUUACAUCUUUAUAAAAAAAUAAUAAUUAAAAACUAUCUAUAAGAAUUUUGUUAUUAUUGAAUUUUUAAAGAAAUUUAGAACAAAGUAUUCUAUAAAUUUUGAAUUAUUGUGUGUUGACUAAGUCCACUUACAAAAUAUUUAUAAUAAAAGAUAAUACUUAGCCUUGUUUCAAAGCAAAAUACAUCACAUCCAAAAAAGACUAAUUUAGUGCCAAGUCAACUAUGGGAAGUAAUCCAAAUGACAAAACUACAUUGAAAUGUCUUUCUAAUUCUUGAAAGUAGACAAUAUCAUGUAAGCAAACAUAGGAAGAAAUGAUUAUAAUAUAUAUAUAUAUAUAUAUAUAUAUAAGUGGUAUAAUGUGAGAGAGAGAUGAGUGGUGGAUGGAGAGUGAUACAUAAAUGACAAAGCACAACGGAAGAGGGCAAGGUGAAUAAGAAGAGAAAGCUUGGAAGGGGUGCUAAGAAGACAAGACCAGAUUAGCCUCGCCACAACCAAAAAUGAGAUGAAAUGGGCCCGUAGAGGAAAGCAAAUGGGAAGGAAAGACGGGCAUAGAGGGAGGGGACCCCAUGACUGCCCCCCUCCCCUCCUCAUUAUAGAACUAUCAUCCCCCGGUUUAAAGGGGCACGACAGGUUUAGGGUCCAGCGGAUCCGCGCAACCAGCGCCGCGCCACGCCCCCACUCUCCCUCUCUCUCGCUCGGUGGCUGCUGCUGCCUCGUGGUGGGGUGCCUUGCCCUGCUCCCAUCUUCGCAGCGCUACGCAACGCAACGCGAUCAGCAAUUUCGUGCCUGCGCACUCAUCGAGGCAUAACACGCACGCACGCACGCACGCACACACACACACACACACUCUCUCUCUCUCUCUCUCUCUCUCUCUCUCUCAUUCUCUCUCAUCACCACUACCAUCACUCGCUCCCAUUCACUAACACUACCUGCUGCUGCUGCGACACUAUGAUUCGCCAGUGAUGCCGGUCACGGGAUUCCCUCCAGGCUCCAUAGUUACGCCCUACGGCUGCCUGCACGCACUCGCGUUACGCUCGGCUCGUUGGUAGUUUCUGUAGUUUUGUGCGUGUGUGACGCUCCCCUUGCGGUGGCAGCGUAGAAAGUGUGUGUGUGCGCGUGUUUUUUUUUUUUUUUUUUUUUUUUUUUUUUUUUUUGUGUGUGUGUGUGUUUUUGUGGUUCCUGUUCGUGGGUAGUCUCCGUGCCAAGUGCGUCCAGUAGAGGAUUGGGGCAGGGAACGGAGAUGGCUGGGAAGGACGGCGAGCGGAAGGAGGGAGGAGGGGAGUCGAAGAAAGUCCGCAAGGGUAGUGUGCAGAGUUGGGAUAGUAGGGAGAGUAGCGAUGUGUCGGAAUCGGAGGACGAGGGCAGCGACGAGUACAGGCGCGGGGGUUACCACGCCAUCCGCAUUGGGGACUGGUUUCACAAUGGCCGUUACGUGGUGUACCGGAAGCUUGGAUGGGGGCACUUCUCGACCGUUUGGCUCGCUUGGGACACGCUUGAUAAGGUUCGCAUCGUCGUGUGGUCGAAUGCGUCAGUUGAUUGCGGUGAUGUCGACGGUUUUAUUUUUUCUUCUUCUUCUUUUUUUCUUUUCUUUUCUUUUCUUUUCCCUCUUCUAUUUGUAUGUUUGUGAGGUAGCAGUUCUGUAGUCUGGAUGGUUUUUAGGGCUUGGAGAGUCAUGAGGGUGGUGUGCGAGGAAGACGUGCCAGACGCGGAAUAGGAUGCAAGAGACGUCUUGGGUUUGAAAUGGAUGAUUGGUUUCAAUUAGAGGGAUGUUUCUGUGGGUAUGUGGGUGUUGGUGCGAUUGGAGAAUGAUCUGAUGAGCGGGUGUUCUUGUGGAGUGCAGAAAUAUGUGGCAUUGAAGGUGCAGAAAAGUGCGCAGCAUUACACCGAAGCGGCUCUCGAUGAGAUUACGAUUUUGAAGCAAAUUGCAGACGGCGAUGUCGAGGACCGCAAGGGCGUUGUGAAACUGUUGGACCACUUUAAGCAUACAGGACAGAAUGGAACGCAUGUGUGCAUGGUUUUUGAAUAUUUAGGGGAUAAUCUUCUUACGCUCAUUAAGGCUUACAAUUACAGGGGUAUACCACUUCAGAUGGUGAAGCAAAUUGCAAAGGAGACUUUGGUGGGGCUUGAUUACCUGCACCGUCAGCUCUCCAUCAUUCACACUGACUUGAAACCUGAAAAUAUUCUGCUUCUGUUUCCUUUGGAUCGCUCCAAGGACCCUCGCAAUUCCGACCACGUGCCGUUGGAGAUUCCAGGUCCAGGUGAGAAAUCGCAGACGCUUUCGGGAUUUGAUAAGCCGCUCUCUCCGAAUCUUUCUAAGAAUCAGAAGAAAAAAGCAAAAAGAAAGGCAAAGAAAGCGGGUGGCAAUGGCAAUGAUAGGGAAAGAGAAAACUGUGAUCCAGACCCUCGCGUGUCGAAGUUCGGAAAGGAGGAAUCAGAAAAGGUCGCCUGUGAACCUGCAGAGAUUAUAAAUGCUACAGAGAGGCUGCGUGGUUCAAAGGAGGAAAGCGUUGAUGCCUGUGACGAGGAGCACGAUGUCAAAGGAGACCGUCCUUUGUGUGCGAGUGCUCCUAAACGAGGCCGGAGCUUGCCUCUCACGGAGGACUUAAGUAAGAUGGAAUUGCGAUGUAAAAUAGUGGAUCUAGGGAAUGCUUGCUGGACUUAUAAGCAAUUUACCGCCGACAUUCAAACACGGCAGUACCGAUGUCCAGAAGUUCUUCUGGGUUCGAAGUAUUCGACUCCAGCUGAUAUGUGGUCAUUUGCGUGUAUUAUUUUUGAGCUGGCCACUGGAGAUGUCCUUUUCGAUCCCCGUAGUGGAGAUGACUUCGGCAGGGAUGAGGUGGGUCUUUGGUUACAAUCUCUUUGGAUAGGAAUGUGUAGCUCCGUCGAAGCAGGGAUUUUCUGAGAGUAUGAGCUGUAGAGUUUCUCUGUUCCAUACAAUGCAAUCUCGGAGUCGGCAUCAGGCUUUCUCUGAAUCGUGAGCGCACACCCAUGUGUGCAGGAUCAUUUAGCGCUAAUGAUGGAAUUGUUGGGUCGCAUGCCUCGCAAGGUUCGUUUAUCUUCUUCACUUCCGGACACUCCUUUCUUUUGUCGCUAAUCUGCAUAAGCGUCGCUCCUGCAGUAUUGAUUUUGGUGAACAGCGGAUUCGUUGCACUAUCCAAUCCUCUUCCUGUCUGACACGAAGCAACUGGUUUUGCAGAUCGCCCUAUCAGGAAAGUAUUCUCGCGACUAUUUUAACCGGCACGGAGACCUGCGGCACAUUCGAAGGUUACGGUACUGGCCCUUGGACAACGUGUUAAUAGAAAAGUACGAUUUUUCGGAACAAGAGGCGCAGGAGCUCGCUGAAUUCUUAGUGCCGUUGCUGGAUUUUGUUCCCGAGAAGCGGCCCACCGCUGGUCGAUGCCUGCAGCAUCCGUGGUUGAGUUCAGUGUCUCGUUCGGUCGAUGACGCGAGGGUUGGAGACUGUGAUGCAGUGCAAGAAGGGCUUCGCAACAUUGCAUUGGCUGGUGGUCACACAGAGGCCACUUCCAAUGGCACCAAGUCGAAGAAGCACCUGGUGCGCAACGAAGGUAGCCACUCGAAGAAAUAGUGCAUUAAAACAAAUUUAUGGGAGUCUUUUUGUGCCUCGUGCUGUACAAGAGUUUUUGUCCUGGCACUGCAACAUCGGCAUAAUAUCCCGCUCAUUUGCAUCUUCGUCCCCAGCUUUGCGUCUUUCUGUGACAAAACGAAGGGCAUUCAAACCAAGCAUCUUGUAUUGUGAUCUUUGUGGCUUCUGUGUUUUUUGCACUACUUAUUGGGAAAGCUAUCAGCGGGGAUUUGCUUGAUAGUGGGUUUUGCUAGCAGCAGCAGGAGAAACCUGUUGCUUUGUAGUUAAUGAAUCUCGACCAUGCCUAGAAAAUUGGGCUCUUGAAUAGAUUUAGGUCACGUUAGCUUCCGGCAAGGGAAGGGAGGGAGGGAGGGAGGGAGGGGGGGGGGGAUGUGUUUUUUGGGCUUAUCACCUAUUUCACGCUCAUGCGCCUCAGCCCACAUUUCGUGUGUUAAUUCUAUAUCUAGUUUCUUGCACCAAUGCCAUCAUAUUUGCGCUUACGAAACAGUGUCUUCAGCUGGUUUUUAUUUUGUAAUUUUGUAAUUUUAUUCUUUUCUUCUUUUUGUUUGUUUUAUGAUUUUUACUAGUUUUUUUUUUUUUCAGUAGCUAUAUUGAAGUGAUAACUAUCCUGCUUGAUAAUCAUAGCUCUUGUGCGUGUACUGGCACAGGUUUUAAGUUCUCUCAAUUCUGAACUAACUCAUUAUGCCUGUUGUCACUGGGUACUGCUGCAUUUGACGUAGUUUUCAUAGCAUUGAUGUUUCUCUUCGGUUUCCAACCACAGGUGUUGAUGAAUCCAAGGACUGCCUAUCGUAUCCACUUCAAUGACACUGCUCCUAUUACGAAAGGAUAUAAAAAAAUAAUAGAGAAAAAAUUCAUUACAUGGAUUCUAUACUGUACUUAAAAGUUGCAGAGAUGGGGUUUGUGUUCACAGGUGACAAUGCUGAUGAUCACAGGGCUCAUGAAGGUUCGACUACACCUGAGUGCCAACUUUCUAUCUUAACAUGAAGGUUAGUGAACAGAAUAGGCUGACUAGACUACUGAUGGCCAUGUCAAAAGUGAACUGAAGAUGGUCGAAAAGCCUUUAGGCAGCUCAGCUCUGAAGCUCCCUACACUCUGUGUGGUAUGUUUUUUUUAAUUAAUUUAUUUUUUAUUGUUUUGUACAUGCUCUCUGGUGGAUGGAAAGAGAUCUGAGCAUUUUCUAGGGUUGGGGCAAUUAAAGCAGAUCUCUUUUGUAAAUAUUGGAUGACUGGGGUCAACUUCUUUAAGAACCCACUUCAAAGCUCAAAAUGUAAAUAGCCAACAGUGUAGUAAAUCUGUCAAUUAGUGGGCAGCGAAGGAGGAUUGGACCACAGAAUUAUGUUCCAAAUAUGCCUCAAUCCAGGCGAAUCAUACAUAAAGGACACCGUUACUUAUUAAGAAUGACUGAUUUUUUAAAAAUUAAAGAUUUUUUUGGAUAUUGUUUUUAUUUUUUGAAGUGGUUAGUGUUGGGAGCAGACAUUUCUUGUGCAGCUUGUGCAGAGGUUGCCUCUGGAUUUUUUGGUUUUUGGAACAUUCUGAAAUACCAAAGGGGCAUUGGAGGCACAGUAUUUCUGAAAAGGAAUUGGGCCACUUAGAUUUUUUGAGGAACUUGUUUAUUAUUCAUUUUUUUCUGGUGAAGUCCACUAUUUUUUACACAAAGUGAUGUGUUGUCCUUCAGCUAUGAAAGAGUUGAGUGUAAUUGGAGCAAGAAAAGGAAAACAUUUAUUUAUCAUAAUAGUGUAUCAUUCAUUGUAAAGCAAAACUUAGUUGCAAUCCUAUGUCUAUUACGUAUUCUAUAUUUAUACUACAGGUUAAAUUGGUAUGAUUUAGAAUUUUAUAACUCUAUUUGAAUAUGAAAUAUGGGAUUUAAUAUGGACAGUUAAUGAA